CCAGGCUUCUCCACAGGGGGGAUCCUCUAAGAGGCCAAGUUGACAAAGGAAAACUAUUUCCUGAGCAGCCCAUUUGAUAAGCCCUCAGCACAGCUAAAUGAAGUCUC
rfam:Sorex araneus cont1.069439, whole genome shotgun sequence.